rnacentral:sRNA from 1 species
GAGAAAAACCGAAAAAAGAGGGAUGCAACACGAGGACUUUCCGGGAGGUCACCCAUCCUAGUACUACUCUCGCCCAAGGACCCUUAACUGCGGAGUUCUGAUGGGAUCCGUUGCAUUAGUGCUGGUAUGAUCGCAUGUGUUACUACAUGCAAUGUAAUCGUAUCUAUUCUUUCUUAAAGACUUUAUGAUCCAUUUGCCGUGCGUCCCACCAGCUAUGUAGGAAUACCCUAUCUUCUUUAUAAGAGCUUUGAUACAUGCAAAAUAUUGGAAAACAAUGUCCGAACAUAUAGUUUUCCCCCCGUAAUAUAGCAAAGAUCACGAAAAGGCCCGAAAAAGUACAUUUAGUUCAAAAUUUGGAGUAGAAAAAAAAACAAUAGAAGAAUUCCAUUUUCCUUCCUCAGUCAUCGGAGAGCUCUCUUAGGGCUUUCCGAAAAGGUAUCACAUGCCAAGUUUGGCCUCACGGUAUAAACGUUAUAGAGUCAUACAUUUUUAACAAUACAAAAUAGAGAAAAACCGAAAAAAAGAGGGAUGCAACACGAAGACUUUCCGGGAGGUAAUCCAUCCUAGUACUACUCUUGCCAAAGCACCCUUAACUGCGGAGUUCUGAUGGAAUCUGGUGCAUUAGUGCUGGUAUGAUCGCAUGUGUUACUACAUGCAAUGUAAUCGUAUCUAUUCUUUUUUAAAGACUUUAUGAUCCAUUUGCCGUGGGUCCCACCAGCUAUGUACGAAUACCCUAUCUUCUUUAUAAGAGCUUUGAUACAUGCAAAAUAUAUGAAAAAAACGUCCGAACAUAUAAUUUUCCCCCCGUAAUAUAGCAAAGAUCAUGAAAAGGCCCAAAAAAGUACAUUAAGGUCAAAAUUUGGCGUAGAAAAAAAACCAAUAGACAUAUUCCAUUG